UUUAAACCGUUCAUAUCCAACGUUUAACCGUUCGUCUUAUUUGAAAAUCUUUUAUUAAUAUUGUUUUUAUUAUUAUUAGAUGAUAAAAUAUAAAUAGUAUAUUAUGUGUGACCAAUUUUUUCAUAAAUUUCUCAAAUAAGACGAACCGUUAAAUGUUGAACAUGAAUACCAACAACUGCACUUAUU
rfam:Oryza meridionalis cultivar OR44 (W2112) chromosome 2, whole genome shotgun sequence.